UUUCUUCCUCUCCCUUGCUUGUUGUGCUGAUACUCUAUUUCUCAACAAUCUUUUUAACCUUUUGUUUUCUUUGUCAGCUGGGCUUCUUCCUCUCUUCCUUUGAGUCCCAGCUGAUGGUUGAGCUUGACCGGCGGCCGAUACUCCAUCUCUUCCAGAAGCUGACGUUGUCCCCGUCGCUUCUCCGCCCAUCUCCGGCACUCUUCUGAUCUCAUCAUCACUCUCCAUACCUUCUUUGAGUUCAUGAUGUAAAGCUGAACUAGAUGAUCUCUCACUACUUGAAGGUAGUGAACUAGCGGCAAUAGAACUCGUCGCUUGCUCUUGCAUUUUUCUCUACACUUGAAAAAAACACUAAAUUAAGGGAAAAGUACAGUUUCG
rnacentral:misc_RNA from 1 species